rnacentral:rRNA from 1 species
GAUCAUGGCUCAGGAUGAACGCUAGCUACAGGCUUAACACAUGCAAGUCGAGGGGAAACGAUAGAGAAAGCUUGCUUUUUCUAGGCGUCGACCGGCGCACGGGUGAGUAACGCGUAUCCAACCUGCCCACCACUUGGGGAUAACCUUGCGAAAGUAAGACUAAUACCCAAUGACGUCUCUAGAAGACAUCUGAAAGAGAUUAAAGAUUUAUCGGUGAUGGAUGGGGAUGCGUCUGAUUAGCUUGUUGGCGGGGUAACGGCCCACCAAGGCGACGAUCAGUAGGGGUUCUGAGAGGAAGGUCCCCCACAUUGGAACUGAGACACGGUCCAAACUCCUACGGGAGGCAGCAGUGAGGAAUAUUGGUCAAUGGGCGAGAGCCUGAACCAGCCAAGUAGCGUGCAGGAUGACGGCCCUAUGGGUUGUAAACUGCUUUUAUAAGGGAAUAAAGUGGGAGUCGUGACUCUUUUUGCAUGUACCUUAUGAAUAAGGACCGGCUAAUUCCGUG